rnacentral:rRNA from 1 species
GGGAUAACACCUGGAAACAGAUGCUAAUACCGGAUAACAACACUAGACGCAUGUCUAGAGUUUGAAAGAUGGUUCUGCUAUCACUCUUGGAUGGACCUGCGGUGCAUUAGCUAGUUGGUAAGGUAACGGCUUACCAAGGCAAUGAUGCAUAGCCGAGUUGAGAGACUGAUCGGCCACAUUGGGACUGAGACACGGCCCAAACUCCUACGGGAGGCAGCAGUAGGGAAUCUUCCACAAUGGACGAAAGUCUGAUGGAGCAACGCCGCGUGAGUGAAGAAGGGUUUCGGCUCGUAAAGCUCUGUUGGUAGUGAAGAAAGAUAGAGGUAGUAACUGGCCUUUAUUUGACGGUAAUUACUUAGAAAGUCACGGCUAACUACGUGCCAGCAGCCGCGGUAAUACGUAGGUGGCAAGCGUUGUCCGGAUUUAUUGGGCGUAAAGCGAGUGCAGGCGGUUCAAUAAGUCUGAUGUGAAAGCCUUCGGCUCAACCGGAGAAUUGCAUCAGAAGCUGUUGAACUUGAGUGCAGAAGAGGAGAGUGGAACUCCAUGUGUAGCGGUGGAAUGCGUAGAUAUAUGGAAGAACACCAGUGGCGAAGGCGGCUCUCUGGUCUGCAACUGACGCUGAGGCUCAAAAGCAUGGGUAGCGAACAGGAUUAGAUACCCUGGUAGUCCAUGCCGUAAACGAUGAGUGAUAAGUGUUGG